UACGUAGGGGCCAAGCGUUGUCCGGAUUUAUUGGGCGUAAAGAGCUCGUAGGCGGUUGGGUAAGUCGGGUGUGAAAACUCCAGGCUCAACUUGGAGAUGCCACCCGAUACUGCUCUGACUUGAGUUCGGUAGGGGAGUGGGGAAUUCCUGGUGUAGCGAUGAAAUGCGCAGAUAUCAGGAGGAACACCGGUGGCGAAGGCAGCUCGCUGGGACGUUACUGACGCUGAGACGCGAAAGCGUGGGGAGCAAACAGG
rnacentral:rRNA from 1 species